rnacentral:rRNA from 1 species
UACAGAGGGUGCGAGCGUUAAUCGGAAUUACUGGGCGUAAAGCGCGCGUAGGCGGCUUUGCAAGUCGGGUGUGAAAGCCCCCGGCUUACCCGGGGAUCUGCAUCCCAAACUGCUUGGCUUGAGUACGGGAGAGGAUAGGGGAAUUCCUGGUGUAGCGGUGAAAUGCGUAGAUAUCAGGAGGAACACCGGUGGCGAAGGCGCCUAUCUGGCCCGAUACUGACGCUGAGGCGCGAAAGCUAGGGGAGCAAACGGG